GGGGGUGCCUUCUCCGGACACUUUGAGGGGGUGGGGAAUGCAGCUAGGGGAUGGCAGUGCGUCUCCCCUCACCUGCCGUUGGGAACGCUGAGACCGUUGAUAAUCUGUCUAUGAGAACCUGACAGCUUUUCCUGUUGAUACUUUCCCCUUCCCCCACACUCCCAGCGCCAUUGAAGCCCCAGAAAGGUAAUCUCAGCAGGGCCGCCAUUGCUUCAACAAAAACAGAGAUCACCCUGAACUACCAGAGUGCUGAGAGGACCUCAAUGGUGAGAAACCUUGAAUUCUGGACAAAGAUACUAAUAAGACCAUCGGGCACUCAACAGUGGCAGGUCUGAUCAGAGUGGACUUGCUCUCAAGCCACAGGUGAAACUCGUUAAGUCUGAACAACAGGGAGGAAAUUCUCCAACAUUUCAUUUUAGCUGGUCUGCCUGUCCCCUUCAGCAGGAAAACUGCUAUAUAAGCCCCCAGGAGCAGUCACUUCUGAAAACAGAGACUCACUGUUUUUCAACUGUCCUUACCCAAUUGCCUCACUGAAAUGCAAAUCAGUGGGAGUAUAAUAGAUAAUUAAUAG